GUACGAAGGGGGCUAGCGUUGUUCGGAUUUACUGGGCGUAAAGCGCACGUAGGCGGUUUGUUAAGUGAGAGGUGAAAUCCCGGAGCUCAACUCCGGAACUGCCUUUCAUACUGGCAAGCUAGAGUCCGGAAGAGGUAAGUGGAACUCCUAGUGUAGAGGUGGAAUUCGUAGAUAUUAGGAAGAACACCAGUGGCGAAGGCGGCUUACUGGUCCGGAACUGACGCUGAGGUGCGAAAGCGUGGGGAGC
rnacentral:rRNA from 1 species